AAUAAGCUAAAUAAGAGCGUAUGGGGAAUGCCUAGGCUCUCAGAGGCGAUGAAGGACGUGAUAAGCUGCGAAAAGCUGCGGGGAUUGGCACAUACAAAUUGAUCCGCAGAUAUCCGAAUGGGGCAACCCAGCAUGUUGAAGACAUGUUAUCCGUAAGGAGGCGAACCCGGAGAACUGAAACAUCUAAGUACCCGGAGGAGAAGAAAACAAAAGUGAUUCCGAUAGUAGCGGCGAGCGAACUUGGAAUAGCCCAAACCAGUAUUGUUACGGCAAUACUGGGGUUGUAGGACUGCGAUAUUUGAGCUAUAAUGAAUUAGAACUGUUUGGAAAGACAGGCCAUAGAAGUGAUAGCCCUG
rnacentral:rRNA from 1 species